rnacentral:rRNA from 1 species
CCUACGGGAGGCAGCAGUGGGGAAUAUUGGACAAUGGGCGCAAGCCUGAUCCAGCCAUACCGCGUGUGUGAAGAAGGCCUUUUGGUUGUAAAGCACUUUAAGCGAGGAGGAGGCUCUUGAGGAUAAUACCCUUGAUGAGUGGACGUUACUCGCAGAAUAAGCACCGGCUAACUCUGUGCCAGCAGCCGCGGUAAUACAGAGGGUGCGAGCGUUAAUCGGAAUUACUGGGCGUAAAGCGCGCGUAGGCGGCUUGUUAAGUCGGAUGUGAAAUCCCCGGGCUCAACCUGGGCACUGCAUUCGAUACUGGCAAGCUAGAGUAUGGGAGAGGAAGGUAGAAUUCCAGGUGUAGCGGUGAAAUGCGUAGAGAUCUGGAGGAAUACCGAUGGCGAAGGCAGCCUUCUGGCCUAAUACUGACGCUGAGGUGCGAAAGCAUGGGGAGCAAACAGGAUUAGAUACCCUGGUAGUCCAUGCCGUAAACGAUGUCAACUAGCCGUUGGGGACCUUGAGUCUUUAGUGGCGCAGCUACGCGAGUAAGUUAGACCGCCGUGGGAGGUACGGUCGCGAAGACGUAAACGUACGAAAGGAAGUUAGACGGCGUUGGAGGACGUUGGCCGACGGACGACGACGAGGGGAGGAGG